GACAGAGGGUGCAAACGUUGUUCGGAAUUACUGGGCGUAAAGCGCGUGUAGGCGGCUAUGCAAGUCGGAUGUGAAAGCCCUCGGCUCAACCGGGGAAGUGCACCCGAAACUGCAAAGCUAGAGUCUCGGAGAGGAUCGUGGAAUUCUCGGUGUAGAGGUGAAAUUCGUAGAUAUCGGGAGGAACACCGGUGGCGAAGGCGGCGCUCUGGACGGUGACUGACGCUGAGACGCGAAAGCGUGGGGAGCAAACAGG
rnacentral:rRNA from 1 species